UGCAUUUGGUGACACAGCGGAGCCGGUUCUCCUCCAGCAAGGGGAAGUAGAAGUCCUCGUAGCCCUCGGCAGCGGCCCGGCGACAGACGGCUGGGGGGCCACAAUCAAACCAGGCCCUCCUGGACUCUCUGCUUUAUGCUUGCUGACCCAUCCAGCAGACCAGGCCUUAGAAGUGUUGUCGCUGAGGUCCGGGGAGAACUCCUGGUCGACAGACACCUCCAUGCGCACAUCAGCGUCCACUGUGUCUGCA